rnacentral:rRNA from 1 species
AUUUUUAAUAUAUUUUUGCUCCACGCGAGAAACAUGACGCACGUGCGCGGUAUUUAUUAAACAAUGUAUCUUAUUUUUGACGUUUGCGGUAAGUUAUAGCUUUGCGGCGCAAUACUCACGCGUCCAGGGCUGGCGUUGCGGUGGCAAUGGUACCGCGUUGUGAAAGGGGUCGAAACCGCGGUAGAACUCGUGUUGGUGAGGUAGAGAGGGAAGGGUGGAAACGGUGUUAAACCCGUCUUUGUUGUUGAGCGGGAGAAUACGUGGUACGGUGCGGUAUCCGUUAUUAGGAGCGGGAUCCCAUCAAAACUCCGAAGUUAAGCGUGCUUGGGCGAGAGUAGUACUAGGAUAGGUGACCUCCUGGGAAGUCCUCGUGUUGCAUUCC